rnacentral:lncRNA from 10 species
GGCAUAUUGUGCUGGAGGACAUAUUUUAUAUGUAACAAUUUGGGGAAAUUUUCUUUUAUAUUAAAUAAAACUGAGAUAUGUAAUGAAUUAGGAUGAAAAAUUCAUAUUCAUCUGAAUUUUAUAAGUGAAUCAUGAGAACUCAAAGAUACUUAGCCCUUGGGACCAUUUUUUACUCCUGUUCGGAUCCCUUCAGCUAAGCAUGAUUAUUUACUAUUUUCAGCUAUUAGUUAUGUCUUGUUGAAAAAGUAUGAAAAGAGCUGCCCAAUAAAUUAGAGUGUAUGCUCAACAUUCUCUUAGCUUCUUUAUCUCUUUCCAAAAUUGGAUCAAAUGACAUUGGACAUGAUCAACUUCUUACUGUUUUGACAAACAUCUGAGGAUACUUUUAUAAUUGAUAAUUUGGACUAGAUUAUGCAAUGUGUGAUGAGACACAAGGUAGUCUGUACUCCCCAUGAUAUGUAUAUCUGUUUGAUAUACUCAAACGGUGUAUAUCAAACGGAUAUAAGUUUGAGUAGGUAUGGAGAUGAGCCAGGGUUUAUUUCUUCAACUAGUAUUUACUGAAUGGUCUUAUGUGCCACAACUGUUCUGGAAACUGUGAUACAUUAAUUAACAGAUAAAGCCUUUCCCUCACAAUGCAUAACAGACCCAACAGAGUAUGAAUGUACAUACAAACUAGUAAAUAAGAAAACAAAUAAAAGUAUUCAGAUAGUGCUAUAACUACUGGGAUGAAAAUCGAGCAGGAAGGAAAAUAUAGCCUGCUUGAUGUGGAAGACAGGGAUAGCCUCUCUGAGGAGGUGACAUUUGACCCAAGACCUAAAUGAGGAGAAGGAGACAGUGAGAUGAAAAUGAGGGAAACAGCAAUGGCAAAUACAGAGAACUUGAGACAACUUGGCCCAUUGGAGGGACAGAGACAAAGCCAAUGUGGGACCACAGGGGAUGAAAGGGAGGCUGAUUGGAGAAAUAGGCAGUGCUGAGGCCAUAAAAGGUCCUAUAGGUCAUGGAAAGACAUUUGGUUACCAUUCUAAUGACAGUGAGAUGUUACUGGGGAGUUUUAAACUGGAGAAUGUCAUAACUGUCCAGAUGUAACCAAAUAGUAAAACCAUUCUUCCUGAAUAACUUGGCUAAAAGGAAUAUUAUGACUACAGAUGUACAUGAAGAUUAAGCAGAACAUGGAAGAAAGGCCUCAAGUAAACUUGACCUCACAUAAAUAUGGGAGGAAGAUCAAAUGGAAGCUGGGAGUGUUGAAAGAAUGUAAGGGGAAUGACUUCUAAUAAUGAACAAAAAGCUGUUAUUUUAUUAUGAAGAAAAAUGUUAUGCAUCUUAUGCAUGCAGAAGAAAUUCCCAUUCAAAAGACUUGGAAAAUGUCUUGGGUGUUUACUAUAAUAAACCUUUUAAGAUAUAGAAAAUUCACAUAUUUAGAGCUUAAUUUCUAAAGAGCUCAGACUUCUCAGUUUAUUAUAUGCUAUGAAAUUUUGUUUAUUUUUAAUUUAACCUACUUGUGUGCAAAAUCAAUAAGGAAGCUUAAGGAAUAUAAACAACUAUUUAACAUGGCCAUUUAAAUAGAUUCAAAGUAAAGAAUAUCAGCAUAGUGUUUCUUUGAUAUGACAACCCCUCCUCCCAGGGCACUUAAAUGAAGGGUUGGGGGGGAAUCUUAACCUGAAAUUGAAAACCCUGAAAUCAUGUUUCCAAGGAAGGAGAAGGAAAAUAGGAAAAACAAAAACAAAAAGCAGCAACUCAUUUGGAAGCUCGUGGGAGAGGAGAGGAGGAUUCAUACAUCUCGGACUGGUUUGCCUUAGCAAGUGAAUCAUUUAAAUAGGAAAAAACAGGGGGCUGACUCAGCUUGAGCAAACUCUUGCUAUCCCCUGCUGAGGUCCGCACUUGCUGUGGCCCCUGCCGCUCUCCUCGGACCUUGCUGCCCUCCUCCUUUGUCACUGUGGAGAAACAGGAAGGAAUGUUUAUUAGCAAGACUGACUGGGGUCACACCCAAGGCAAUAUCAGGUUUUUACCUCUCCCAGGCCUGGGAAGAGGUUCAAGGAUCAAGGACAAGCUCCCGGUUAGAGUGAGAGGCAAGUUCAAACCUUUGAAAAAUAAACUCACAACCAGCAUUUGGCACAGGCCUCUGGAGUUUACAGAAUGUAUCUGCCUGUGUGUGAUUUCAUUAGUUCCUCCUGCCAAUCUAAUGAGAUUUUACGUCCUGUAACAGUGAGGCAAUUGGAGUCUCAGCAGGGAAAGGAACUUGCCUAAAACUGCAGGAUGGGUAGCGCUUGGAUCCUGACUUUCUGACUCCUAGGACUGUGCUGUCUUCAGAUGAUCACAUGCCUUCUUGGCAGAUGUUUCUAACAAAGGAGAGAGUUGCCCAGGGUGGGGCUCUGCUAGCUCCCUUGUCAUGAGCCAUUCUCUCCACAUUGCCUUUUAGUUGCACCACAUAGUCACCUUCAAUUAGCUGUGCGAAUAGGCUCACUCUUAUGCUAACAUGUACUAAAAGUGAAAAUGGGGAGAGAGAGAGAGAGAGAGAAAGAGAGACACACAGAGAGAGAGACUCAUAUUAUGGUAUGUUCCCUGCCCCACCCCACUCCACUCCCUCUCAACAGGGAGAAAGUACCUGAAGAAAAUCAUUGCUAUGAAGGGCAUAGCCAGCUAAAUGGGUGUCACUUAGUCUGAAAAAUCUCAAAGAUGUCAAUAAGCCACUCGAGACAACAAGGAACCUGUUUUCCUGUCAUCAUUCCUUCUCAGUCCUUGGCUUUGGGAAGGGUAACUUUAUGGAGAGAGAAGAACCUCUGUGGAGUUAAAAGGUUUAUGAACUUUUUUCCCUGCAACAAAUCAGUGACAGCUGUUCCACAGGCUGAUGGUUUUCCCUUUACCUUUCGUUUUUUAACAGCUAUGUCUCACAGUCCAGACUUGGAGUACAAGUAAUAAGAAGAAUAAAACUUAAUCCCUUAAGUAGAUUCACCAUAAGUUAGCUCAGAGCAAUUCCAGUGCAAGUAUGGUCUGUGAUCCAGUAGUAUCUUACAGACAGCAAGUUGAACAUUGUGGGAUGCAUGAGCUAUUGAGGCCUUUGCAGCUUUCUGCUACAUGGAGGCUAGGGCCAGAGUCAAGAUUUAUGCUUUGCAGCACACUGGUCAGCUGUUUUUGCAAAUCAGAUUAAAUGAUUUUUAAAUGAGGCUGAGAGCAUGGGAGAUACUAAUGUGUGUUUCCUUGUGAGCUACUGCAUAAGUUAGGAAAUUGAAAUACAGAAAGAUGAAAAGUGAUUUGCCCAAGCAUAUAGAUCAAAGCUGUGGCAGAACCAGGACUGGAACCUAUAUCUCUCUACUAAUGGUUUUUUUAAAAAAAUAACCUUGUUUCAAAAAUAUUAAAAAGUCACAAGAAAGGUAAACAUGUGGAUAAACAAAAUGAAGAAAAUAAAAAUUAUCCAGUAAUAACAUAUUGGCAUAUGUCUUUCUGGUAUAUUUUCCUGUGUUGUCAUCAUUAUCAUCUCCAUCAUCAUUAUAUCCAUCAUUAUCAUCAU